UUCAUUAAUGGAUGAAUGUAUAAUGAAACUGUGGUUGAUACAUACAGUGGAGUAUAAUUUGGCCUUAAAAAAGGAGGAAAUAUUGACAUUUGUGACAAUAUGGAUGAACCUGGAGGACAUUUUGCUAAGUGAAAUAUGUCAGACACAGAAAGACAAGUACUGCAUGAUCUCACCUAUGUGUGGUAUAUGAAACAGUCAAAUCCAGAGAAGUAGAGAGGAGAAUGGUGGUUUCCAGGUGCUAGCAGGAUGGGAAAAUGAGGCAAAGUUUAUCAAAGAAGACAAAAGAUUAUAACAAACUAUCUCUCAGACCACAGUGCAAUCAAACUAGAACUCAGAAAUAAGAAUCUCACUCAAAACCGCU
rnacentral:lncRNA from 10 species